rnacentral:rRNA from 1 species
UACGAGGGGUGCAAGCGUUGCUCGGAAUUAUUGGGCGUAAAGGGUAGGUAGGUGGUCUCAUUUGUCUGUGGUGAAAGCCUUGGGCUUAACUCAAGAAGUGCCGCAGAAACGGUGAGACUGGAGUCCUGGAGAGGGUCGUGGAAUUCCCGGUGUAGCGGUGAAAUGCGUAGAUAUUGGGAGGAACACCAGUGGCGAAAGGCG